GUGCUUGCUUUGGUAGCACAUAUAAUAAAUUAGAAUGAUAAAAGAAAAGAUUAGCAUGGCCCCUGUACAAGGACUAACACAAAAUAAAAAUAAAUAAAACAUUUUA